AUUGAACGCUGGCGGCAUGCCUAACACAUGCAAGUCGAGCGGAGCGGCGGACGGGUGAGUAAUGCAUAGGAAUCUGCCUGGUCGUGGGGGAUCAAGUCCGGAAACGGGCGCUAAUACCGCAUACUAUCAGAUGAGCCUAGGUCGGAUUAGCUAGUUGGUGGGGUAAAGGCCUACCACGGCGACGAUCCGUAACUGGUCUGAGAGGAUGAUCAGUCACACGGGAACUGAGACACGGUCCAGACUCCUCAGGUAGGCAGCAGUGGGGAAUAUUGGACAAUGGGCGAAAUCCUGAGCCAGCCAUGCCGCGUGUGUGAAGAAGGUCUUCGGUUUGGAAAGCACUUUAAGUUGGGAGGCGUUACCAACAGAAUAAGCACCGGCUAACUUCGUGCCAGAAGCCGCGGUAAUAC
rnacentral:rRNA from 1 species